UGUCAUUGAGUUUGGUGGGACAGUUCAGCGUGGGUCAUCUAUAUGUCAUAAUAUGUCAAUGUCACCCCUGACUGAAGAACUGACUGAGUUAAAGCUCUGGACCUAUAGUUCGUAUCAUACGAUUACAGAACAUAAAUCAAUACAAUUUUAUAAAAAAAAGAAGUGUGCAUGCAAAGAAAUCAUUGUCCAAUUUUAUUAGAGAUGUUUCAGAAUAUUAAACAUAAAUCACUUAAAAAUAUUCUCAAAACGAAAGCAAAAUAAUAUUAUUUUGUCUUCUACCCAUAUAGCACUUUUAUUUUGUUUUCUUCAAAAUCAUCAUAAUUUAUUUUAAUUUUAUAAAUUCGUAUGUUUAUUAUAUUAUUUUAGUAUCUGGUAUAAUAGGAAUGUAUGGGUAUACAUUGUGGUAUUGUAAUGUUGGUGAGCGAGUGAUUUGGGGCUCAUCAAAUGGAUCAAUAGCGAUUUAAUGGGUUGAUGUGGGGCUUUAAUGGGGGCGUGGGUUUUUAAUGGGCGGUUGUAGGUCUUUAAUGAGUAGGUUUGGGUUUUUAAUGGGUAGGUGUGGGUUUUUAAUGGGUAGGUGUGGGUCUUUAAUGAGUGGGUUUGGGAAUUUUAAUGGGUAGGUGUGGGUCUUUAAUGAGUGGGUUGGGUUUUUAAUGGGUAGGUUAGGGAGUAUUUAAUGGGAGAUACAUGGGUGACUGAUGUCCGUUUUCACCAUCAAUCCCUAAUUUUUAAGUGAUCUC